UACGUAGGGGUGCAAGCGUUUAUCCGGAAUUUAUUGGGCGUAAAAGAGCUCGUAGGCGGUUUUGUCGCGUCUGCUGUGAAAAACUGGAGGCUCAACCUCCCAGCCCUGCAGUGGGGUACGGGGCAAAACUAGAGUGCGGGUAGGGGGAGAUUUGGAAUUCCUGGUGUAGCGGUGGGAAUGCGCAGAUAUCAGGGAGGAACACCGAUGGCGAAGGCAGAUCUCUGGGGCCGUAACUGACGCUGAGGAGCGAAAGCAUGGGGAGCGAACAGG
rnacentral:rRNA from 1 species